CAAACUUGGUCAUUUAGAGGAAGUAAAAGUCGUAACAAGGUCUCCGUUGGUGAACCAGCGGAGGGAUCAUUACCGAGUUUACAACUCCCAAACCCCUGUGAACAUACCACUUGUUGCCUCGGCGGAUCAGCCCGCUCCCGGUAAAACGGGACGGCCCGCCAGAGGACCCCUAAACUCUGUUUCUAUAUGUAACUUCUGAGUAAAACCAUAAAUAAAUCAAAACUUUCAACAACGGAUCUCUUGGUUCUGGCAUCGAUGAAGAACGCAGCAAAAUGCGAUAAGUAAUGUGAAUUGCAGAAUUCAGUGAAUCAUCGAAUCUUUGAACGCACAUUGCGCCCGCCAGUAUUCUGGCGGGCAUGCCUGUUCGAGCGUCAUUUCAACCCUCAAGCACAGCUUGGUGUUGGGACUCGCGUUAAUUCGCGUUCCUCAAAUUGAUUGGCGGUCACGUCGAGCUUCCAUAGCGUAGUAGUAAAACCCUCGUUACUGGUAAUCGUCGCGGCCACGCCGUUAAACCCCAACUUCUGAAUGUUGACCUCGGAUCAGGUAGGAAUACCCGCUGAACUUAAGCAUAUCAAUAAGCGGAGG
rnacentral:rRNA from 1 species